rnacentral:rRNA from 1 species
CAGCAGCCGCGGUAAUACGAAGGGGGCUAGCGUUGCUCGGAAUUACUGGGCGUAAAGGGCGCGUAGGCGGACAGUUAAGUUGGGGGUGAAAGCCCGGGGCUCAACCUCGGAAUUGCCUUCAAUACUGGCUGUCUUGAGUAUGAGAGAGGUGUGUGGAACUCCGAGUGUAGAGGUGAAAUUCGUAGAUAUUCGGAAGAACACCAGUGGCGAAGGCGACACACUUGCUCACUACUGACGCUGAGGCGCGAAAGCGUGGGGAGCAAACAGGAUUAGAUACCCGCGUAGUCCCUGUCUCUUAUAC